CUCCUUCUUCUUCAUCAUCUUUUUAACUGCAUGGUUUUUCUUCCUCUUCUACUGGCUCCCACCCACUAACCCUAAACACAUUAGUCACCACCGAACCCAUAAUCUCAUCGGUAACCAUAACAUCAACAAUCACGUACGCCGACAACCUUUCUCCGUUUACAUUUACGACUUGCCUCCAGAAUUCAACCUCGGCCUCGUCAAAAACUGCCACCACUUAAAUGUCUACACCGACAUGUGUCCCCACGUAGCAAAUCACGGCCUCGGCCAGCCGCUUGAGCACAUCAGCGCCGUUAGCCCCGGCUGCUGGUUUGCCACUCACCAGUUCAUAGCCGAGAUGAUUUUCCAUGCACGUUUAGAAAAUCACCCGCUUCGCACGUGGGACCCGUCACGUGCCACCCUCUUCUACGUACCCUUCUACGGCGGCCUCUACGCCUCCAGUAAUUUCCGGGAGACUAAUCUGACGGCUCGCGAUGACUUAGCCGUUAGAUUCAGCGAGUUCCUCAAAUCACAGCCGUGGUGGCAGCGGGCUAAAGGUAAGGAUCAUUUUGUUGUGCUGGGGAGAACCGCAUGGGAUUUCAUGAGGACAGCGAGUGGGCCCGACUUCGGAGCGAACACUCUCCUCAACCUGCCGCGUGUCCAGAACGUGUCGGUGCUGACCGUCGAGAGAAACCCCUGGAGGGGAUCGAACCAGCACGGCAUCCCUUAUCCUUCUUACUUCCACCCUUCCACGUCAUCCCAGAUGCUGACUUGGCAGCAGAAAAUGAGACUCUCCAAGCGGCCCAACCUUUUCACUUUUAUAGGAGCUCCGAGGAAGGGCUUAGAAAAAGCAGCGAUUCGAGACGAGUUGAUAAAGCAAUGCGGUCAGUCAACUCGGUGCAAACUCCUGACAUGCAGUAACAGAUCGGGAGCAAGCAAUAAGUGUUAUUCACCGAGUGAAAUACUUGGAUACUUCACAUUAGUUAGUCAUUUCAUUUUUAUAAAUUGAUCGUGGAUUGAAAGUUACAUCAUCUCAUGCACACAUCAAUUGGUUGUAAUAUCCUAGAAUAUCUCUUGUUUUGGAUAUCGGGCAUUUGCAAUAUUUUCUAUAACCGUUUUGCUCCUUAACUAAUGUUUAUUAACCAUCUAUCUAUUUAAAUAUACUUCACAUUAGUUAGUCAUUUCAUUUUUAUAAAUUGAUCGUGGAUUGAAAGUUACAUCAUCUCAUGCACACAUCAAUUGGUUGUAAUACUGCUGUACCGUACAUCCGCCUUGGCCGUACAGCAGUUAUUCCUUAAAAGGAGUGGGGAGAAGCUUGCUUAAGUUCUUGAGUGCAACUUUCGGUUUUUCACAUGAACUUUAAUUACAAUGAUUAAGUUCUGAUCAGUGGAUCAUCAAUUUGAAGUUUAAGUAAAGCUUCUUUUCUUUCUUCUUUUCAUUUUCUUGUGAUUCCAACUUCCAGAUUUUCAUUUUUCUUGCCACACUUGCAAAGAAAGUCCGACGAACUAUAAGAUUCAUGCUCUCUCAUUUACCAGCAUAAUUAGAUUAUCAACCGAAAUUACAUGAUGGAGCCCCAUCUUAAAUUUAUAUAUAUAUCCUUCACUUACCUAGAACUUAAUUAGGUUUAACACUUAUAAAGAAAUUUUCAUUUACUUGGGGAAACCCCAUCUUAAAUUUAUAUAUACUCAUUUUGUGUCGGAGCAUAUAUAUAUAUGUGUGUGUGUGUGCAUGCACUCCAAUCAGACUGUCCAGGAUAUUUCUUGUAAUCAUCUAAUUUUGCUCUCUUUAUCUCAUAAUGCAGAAAUCAGUUCUACACCUGACAACGAAGGAUACUUCUUUUGCAAAAGAGGGAGAAAAUACAGAAACAGCGUAAGACCGAAUAGAGUGACGGGGUCUGGAUUUUGGAAGGCAACUGGCAUCGACAAGCCUGUAUAUUCUGACGGAGGAGAAGGCCAAGACUGCAUUGGACUCAAGAAAACGCUUGUAUACUACCGUGGAACCGCCGGAAAAGGAACCAAAACGGAUUGGAUGAUGAACGAGUUUCGCCUUCCUUCUGACGAUCGUAGCGGCAACACUAAUGUCACCAAUGCUAAAACAACCUUGCCGGAAGCGGUAAGUUGAAAGUUUUAAUUUUGUAACAGGGUUAACUCCAUCGAGUGUUCAAAAGUUGAAUAAUCAUGAAAUGUUUGUGAAGACCUUACUACAUAGUCUAGUUUGUGUUAAUUACCUCUAUUUCAGACGUUCAUUUCUUUACGCGAUUUCAGGAAGUAUGGACCAUCUGCAGAGUUUUCAAGCGAAAUGUGUCAUCCAGAAAGUACACAAAUUGGAAGGAGCAAUCAUCGGCUAGACGUCAGUCAUCAGUAACGGAGUUACCAAGCGCUACAAUUACAUACAGUACAGAAUCUAACAAUCAGGAAGAAGCUUACAUCAGUUUUGAAAAUCCCGGGAUUCAUCGUCAUACCGAUAAUCUGAAGCCCACCGCCGUCCAUCAGAUCAAUGAGAUAAGCCAGUUUAGUAGUGUAGAGCAGUUGAGCGGCAACAUACCCAGUAAUCCUUAUGAAUCCAUGGCAUCAUCUUCAAGCCACCCACAUGCAAAUGGAAAUGAUUUUCAUGAAUUGUUCACUCAAGAGAAUUGGGAUGAACUUAGGUCGGUUGUAGAGUUUGCACUUGAAUGUCCAAACUUUUCUUUUUAAACCCGGACGGGACUAGUUGCAAUAACAACGACAGAAAUUAUUUUAUAGACUCAGAUUAAUGCGUUGUUUUAGGUUCCUAUUUAUAUUUUUGUGGUCAUUAUCCUAUUGUUGGUCACUAGCUCCAUUCGAGUUUGAAGGGGGGGAGUGGAUGUCCGCCUCUAUUAGGUAUCCCGUAUAUAAACUCGUGUGAUUAUGUAAUUUUUGCGCUAAAGUUUAUCGUAGGAUUGUAAUAUUAUGAUGUUUGUUAGGAUGAACUUUAUACUUCGAAUUCGGAAGCUAACAUGUACACGGCAUAUAUGUAAGUUCUUUUGAAAAAAAAUAAAAUAAAACUAAGUUGAAAUGCUUUUAUUAUUGAGAUUGUUUUAGGGAGAAAAUGUAGAAUACAUCAGAGAUACCACGCCAUCCAUACAACAAGCAAAUUAUGUUAUAAUAUGUAUGUAUUUAUUUUGAAUAAUUAUAAUGUAAGUGAUGAUUAUAUUAAAUUCAAUUACACAUACCAUGCAUACAUCAACUGGUUGUAAUAUAUUAGAAGUAUUCUAGAAUUUCUCUUGUUUUGGAUACCGGACAUUUGCAAUAUUUUUUAUAAAUGUUUUGCUGCUAACUAAUGUUUAUUAACCAUCCAUCUAUUUAAAUAUUACUUCACAUUAGUUAGUCAUUUCAUUUUUAUAAAUUGAUCGUGGAUUGAAAGUUACAUCAUCUCAUGCACACAUCAAUUGGUUGUAAUACUGCUGUACCGUACAUCCGCCUUGGCCGUACAGCAGUUAUUCCUUAAAAGGAGUGGGGAGAAGCUUGCUUAAGUUCUUGAGUGCAACUUUCGGUUUUUCACAUGAACUUUAAUUACAAUGAUUAAGUUCUGAUCAGUGGAUCAUCAAUUUGAAGUUUAAGUAAAGCUUCUUUUCUUUCUUCUUUUCAUUUUCUUGUGAUUCCAACUUCCAGAUUUUCAUUUUUCUUGCCACACUUGCAAAGAAAGUCCGACGAACUAUAAGAUUCAUGCUCUCUCAUUUACCAGCAUAAUUAGAUUAUCAACCGAAAUUACAUGAUGGAGCCCCAUCUUAAAUUUAUAUAUAUAUCCUUCACUUACCUAGAACUUAAUUAGGUUUAACACUUAUAAAGAAAUUUUCAUUUACUUGGGGAAACCCCAUCUUAAAUUUAUAUAUACUCAUUUUGUGUCGGAGCAUAUAUAUAUAUGUGUGUGUGUGUGCAUGCACUCCAAUCAGACUGUCCAGGAUAUUUCUUGUAAUCAUCUAAUUUUGCUCUCUUUAUCUCAUAAUGCAGAAAUCAGUUCUACACCUGACAACGAAGGAUACUUCUUUUGCAAAAGAGGGAGAAAAUACAGAAACAGCGUAAGACCGAAUAGAGUGACGGGGUCUGGAUUUUGGAAGGCAACUGGCAUCGACAAGCCUGUAUAUUCUGACGGAGGAGAAGGCCAAGACUGCAUUGGACUCAAGAAAACGCUUGUAUACUACCGUGGAACCGCCGGAAAAGGAACCAAAACGGAUUGGAUGAUGAACGAGUUUCGCCUUCCUUCUGACGAUCGUAGCGGCAACACUAAUGUCACCAAUGCUAAAACAACCUUGCCGGAAGCGGUAAGUUGAAAGUUUUAAUUUUGUAACAGGGUUAACUCCAUCGAGUGUUCAAAAGUUGAAUAAUCAUGAAAUGUUUGUGAAGACCUUACUACAUAGUCUAGUUUGUGUUAAUUACCUCUAUUUCAGACGUUCAUUUCUUUACGCGAUUUCAGGAAGUAUGGACCAUCUGCAGAGUUUUCAAGCGAAAUGUGUCAUCCAGAAAGUACACAAAUUGGAAGGAGCAAUCAUCGGCUAGACGUCAGUCAUCAGUAACGGAGUUACCAAGCGCUACAAUUACAUACAGUACAGAAUCUAACAAUCAGGAAGAAGCUUACAUCAGUUUUGAAAAUCCCGGGAUUCAUCGUCAUACCGAUAAUCUGAAGCCCACCGCCGUCCAUCAGAUCAAUGAGAUAAGCCAGUUUAGUAGUGUAGAGCAGUUGAGCGGCAACAUACCCAGUAAUCCUUAUGAAUCCAUGGCAUCAUCUUCAAGCCACCCACAUGCAAAUGGAAAUGAUUUUCAUGAAUUGUUCACUCAAGAGAAUUGGGAUGAACUUAGGUCGGUUGUAGAGUUUGCACUUGAAUGUCCAAACUUUUCUUUUUAAACCCGGACGGGACUAGUUGCAAUAACAACGACAGAAAUUAUUUUAUAGACUCAGAUUAAUGCGUUGUUUUAGGUUCCUAUUUAUAUUUUUGUGGUCAUUAUCCUAUUGUUGGUCACUAGCUCCAUUCGAGUUUGAAGGGGGGGAGUGGAUGUCCGCCUCUAUUAGGUAUCCCGUAUAUAAACUCGUGUGAUUAUGUAAUUUUUGCGCUAAAGUUUAUCGUAGGAUUGUAAUAUUAUGAUGUUUGUUAGGAUGAACUUUAUACUUCGAAUUCGGAAGCUAACAUGUACACGGCAUAUAUGUAAGUUCUUUUGAAAAAAAAUAAAAUAAAACUAAGUUGAAAUGCUUUUAUUAUUGAGAUUGUUUUAGGGAGAAAAUGUAGAAUACAUCAGAGAUACCACGCCAUCCAUACAACAAGCAAAUUAUGUUAUAAUAUGUAUGUAUUUAUUUUGAAUAAUUAUAAUGUAAGUGAUGAUUAUAUUAAAUUCAAUUACACAUACCAUGCAUACAUCAACUGGUUGUAAUAUAUUAGAAGUAUUCUAGAAUUUCUCUUGUUUUGGAUACCGGACAUUUGCAAUAUUUUUUAUAAAUGUUUUGCUGCUAACUAAUGUUUAUUAACCAUCCAUCUAUUUAAAUAUUACUUCACAUUAGUUAGUCAUUUCAUUUUUAUAAAUUGAACGUGGUUUCAAAGUUACAUCAUCUCAUUCCGAGUAGAAUUAAUCAGAUCUUAUUUAGAAUUUGGCUAUAUCAGCUCAGUCAUUUAACUUGUAUUAAAAAUAGAAAUUUAAAGUGACUUUAGAUUUUUUGUUGAUUUGAUUGGAGUUUUUUGGAACAGGAUUUGACAGUACAACCAAAGUGCACCCUAUUGAACAGUAAAGUUUAGUUUUUUUUUUUUUAUCUGAACCACGAGGUGGUCCUGAGUGGGCCUCAACUGUGGGAGGCACCUUUAAGCCCGUACCACAACCUAGACUAAUCUCCGGUCGCACCGGGUUGGCCUGUAAGGGGUAAAGUGCUGGGCAAAGUGGUGACUCCAUACGAGAGCGGAGCUUGAAAAACAGUUUUUAAUUUGGGUAUAUAUAUCCAAGGGACACAGAAAAACAAACUGAAGUACUACUAUAAUAAGUUAAUUAAUUGCUUCCUUAACACCUAGCUUAAUAAAUAGUAAAAAUAAAAUAAAAGAUUAAGUAGCUUCGAUAGAAAAUAUUUUUGACCAUUUAAAAAUUCAUCAAUAUUACUUAUUAUAUAUAAAAUGAUGUGUAAAGACUUUUUCUAAUAUUCCUUUUGGCUCUUUUUAAUUCAUACAUACAUGGUCUUUUCCUUUAAUGGCUACAUAGUCAAGACGAACGACUUAGACUUGGACAAAAGCAACCAACUCUCCUAAGACUUAAUAAAAAGCAAUUAAUGUUUCUUUCAUGCUCAAGCAAGCUAAUGGUCUUAUAUACUGCAGAACCAAAAAAAAAAAGGGUUACAAUUAAGUGAGACAAUAAUAACGAUGAACGGCCAAAAUAUCAAGAUUGAUCAUCAUUGUUACAGGGAUGAUCAUGAAGCUGAUGAUCGUCAGCUUCCGGGGUUUCGGUUCCAUCCAACAGAUGAAGAACUUGUUGGGUUUUAUCUUCGAAGAAAAGUUGACAAGAAACCGCUCAGCAUCGAAUUGAUCAAACAGAUUGAUAUUUACAAGCAUGAUCCUUGGGAUCUUCCAAGUAUGAACUACGUACUCAAUUUGUCUUUUUUUUUUCUUUUUGGGAUCAAAUUUAAAAGAGCUUUUAAAGGCUUAAAAGUGUUUGUUCAACUCUUCUUUUUCCCCAAUGUGUUCUAAAUUCCAAUCAAUCUCAUUUCAAAUGAAGCUAUUAAUGGGUUUUUCAGAAUUGAUUUGAUAUUAACUUAGAGCUUAUUUGUCUUAUUCCUUAAAAGGAGUGGGGAGAAGCUUGCUUAAGUUCUUGAGUGCAACUUUCGGUUUUUCACAUGAACUUUAAUUACAAUGAUUAAGUUCUGAUCAGUGGAUCAUCAAUUUGAAGUUUAAGUAAAGCUUCUUUUCUUUCUUCUUUUCAUUUUCUUGUGAUUCCAACUUCCAGAUUUUCAUUUUUCUUGCCACACUUGCAAAGAAAGUCCGACGAACUAUAAGAUUCAUGCUCUCUCAUUUACCAGCAUAAUUAGAUUAUCAACCGAAAUUACAUGGUGGAGCCCCAUCUUAAAUUUAUAUAUAUAUCCUUCACUUACCUAGAACUUAAUUAGGUUUAACACUUAUAAAGAAAUUUUCAUUUACUUGGGGAAACCCCAUCUUAAAUUUAUAUAUACUCAUUUUGUGUCGGAGCAUAUAUAUAUAUGUGUGUGUGUGUGCAUGCACUCCAAUCAGACUGUCCAGGAUAUUUCUUGUAAUCAUCUAAUUUUGCUCUCUUUAUCUCAUAAUGCAGAAAUCAGUUCUACACCUGACAACGAAGGAUACUUCUUUUGCAAAAGAGGGAGAAAAUACAGAAACAGCGUAAGACCGAAUAGAGUGACGGGGUCUGGAUUUUGGAAGGCAACUGGCAUCGACAAGCCUGUAUAUUCUGACGGAGGAGAAGGCCAAGACUGCAUUGGACUCAAGAAAACGCUUGUAUACUACCGUGGAACCGCCGGAAAAGGAACCAAAACGGAUUGGAUGAUGAACGAGUUUCGCCUUCCUUCUGACGAUCGUAGCGGCAACACUAAUGUCACCAAUGCUAAAACAACCUUGCCGGAAGCGGUAAGUUGAAAGUUUUAAUUUUGUAACAGGGUUAACUCCAUCGAGUGUUCAAAAGUUGAAUAAUCAUGAAAUGUUUGUGAAGACCUUACUACAUAGUCUAGUUUGUGUUAAUUACCUCUAUUUCAGACGUUCAUUUCUUUACGCGAUUUCAGGAAGUAUGGACCAUCUGCAGAGUUUUCAAGCGAAAUGUGUCAUCCAGAAAGUACACAAAUUGGAAGGAGCAAUCAUCGGCUAGACGUCAGUCAUCAGUAACGGAGUUACCAAGCGCUACAAUUACAUACAGUACAGAAUCUAACAAUCAGGAAGAAGCUUACAUCAGUUUUGAAAAUCCCGGGAUUCAUCGUCAUACCGAUAAUCUGAAGCCCACCGCCGUCCAUCAGAUCAAUGAGAUAAGCCAGUUUAGUAGUGUAGAGCAGUUGAGCGGCAACAUACCCAGUAAUCCUUAUGAAUCCAUGGCAUCAUCUUCAAGCCACCCACAUGCAAAUGGAAAUGAUUUUCAUGAAUUGUUCACUCAAGAGAAUUGGGAUGAACUUAGGUCGGUUGUAGAGUUUGCACUUGAAUGUCCAAACUUUUCUUUUUAAACCCGGACGGGACUAGUUGCAAUAACAACGACAGAAAUUAUUUUAUAGACUCAGAUUAAUGCGUUGUUUUAGGUUCCUAUUUAUAUUUUUGUGGUCAUUAUCCUAUUGUUGGUCACUAGCUCCAUUCGAGUUUGAAGGGGGGGAGUGGAUGUCCGCCUCUAUUAGGUAUCCCGUAUAUAAACUCGUGUGAUUAUGUAAUUUUUGCGCUAAAGUUUAUCGUAGGAUUGUAAUAUUAUGAUGUUUGUUAGGAUGAACUUUAUACUUCGAAUUCGGAAGCUAACAUGUACACGGCAUAUAUGUAAGUUCUUUUGAAAAAAAAUAAAAUAAAACUAAGUUGAAAUGCUUUUAUUAUUGAGAUUGUUUUAGGGAGAAAAUGUAGAAUACAUCAGAGAUACCACGCCAUCCAUACAACAAGCAAAUUAUGUUAUAAUAUGUAUGUAUUUAUUUUGAAUAAUUAUAAUGUAAGUGAUGAUUAUAUUAAAUUCAAUUACACAUACCAUGCAUACAUCAACUGGUUGUAAUAUAUUAGAAGUAUUCUAGAAUUUCUCUUGUUUUGGAUACCGGACAUUUGCAAUAUUUUUUAUAAAUGUUUUGCUGCUAACUAAUGUUUAUUAACCAUCCAUCUAUUUAAAUAUUACUUCACAUUAGUUAGUCAUUUCAUUUUUAUAAAUUGAUCGUGGAUUGAAAGUUACAUCAUCUCAUGCACACAUCAAUUGGUUGUAAUAUCCUAGAAUAUCUCUUGUUUUGGAUAUCGGGCAUUUGCAAUAUUUUCUAUAACCGUUUUGCUCCUUAACUAAUGUUUAUUAACCAUCUAUCUAUUUAAAUAUACUUCACAUUAGUUAGUCAUUUCAUUUUUAUAAAUUGAACGUGGAUUAAAAGUUACAUCAUCUCAUUCCGAGUAGAAUUAAUCAGAUCUUAUUUAGAAUUUGGCUAUAUCAAAUAAGUCAUUUAACUUGUAUUAAAAAUAGAAAUUUAAAGUGAAUUUAGAUUUUAUGUUGAUUUGAUUAGAGUUUUUUGGAACAUGAUUUGACAGUACAACCAAAGUGCACCCUAUUGAACGGUAAAGUUUAGGUUUUUUUUUUUUUUUCAUGUUAUUUAGUUUUUUCAUGUUAUGUAUUUAGCAUAAAAGUUAGUUAGUUAAGCACCCAUAAAAUAACACUCAGUUGGUGGGAUUGACAUUUCUUUGCCGUGAACAAUGCAGAGCUGGUAUCAAUAGGUAACAAAGUUAAAAGCAAAAUUUGAAACUCUUCAAUAAACUCAAAUGAACGAUUAUUUGUUUUCUGUUGAGUGAAUGUGUCGUGUUAUUGGCCACAUUUCAUCUCUUAACAUGUUGACAGUUGCUGAGGAUUGAACUGAAGUUUACAUUUUGAGAGACAUAUCUUCCACGUUUUGGGUUACGAACGGCAUUAUAAACAUUUUCGAGGGUAUAUUAGUCAUUCCAUGUACCAAGCAUCAAAAAUUGAAAAGAUUACGAGAUGUGCACUCUUUUAAAUAUAUCAACGAUGACUAUCUAAAAAGGUACAAAAGAAAAAAUUGAAAUAUUAAAAAAAAAAAAAUUCUCUCUCCGCCAUUGCUUGAGCUUGUAGCUGGGAGAUUUGAUUGGCCAAAAGCUGAAAGUUAAUGCAUGUAAUAUCAUCUGUUCUUUAUCAUCUUUAAUCACAUUGAAUUAAUCAAUCAUUCAAUUUUAAUCUUCUCUUAACCGCAAUUUUACUCACUCAAGAUCCAACAAUCUCUCAUAUUACUUUAUUGAACGCAUAGCUGAACUAUAUCUAGCAUUGCCCUGUUCAUUAUACGAAGUGGGUAAACUUUAGUUAUUUUACUUGUUAAUUAUCAAGUCCAAAGUUCAAUCUUUUUCGUUCAAAGUUUCAAGCUUUUGUGUUAUCUUGCUAAUCAGAUGGCGACUCGAAAUUGGGUUGCUUUGUUUGUGGUGCUUUCAUGUCUUCUUGGCGUUUUGGAUGCCAGUGCUGGCGAUGCUGAUCCUCUUUACAGGUAAAGUUGUUGAUUUUCUUGUAAUUUUAUUCAUGUAAUGUUUUAUAGUGUUGUAGCUUUAAUUAGGAAAUGAAUUACUGUGACUCGUGUACUGAAAUUUCAUUUGACGUUUUUGUGCUUGUGACUCUGAGUUCGCUCAUUUUCAAUUUCUAGAAUUUUUGUGCUUCACUUUUCUCUUUGUAUAGUUCCCUUAUUGCCUUGUGUAGAUGAAUUAAGUCUAAAAAAAUGGACUAUAGGGAUCAAUAAAAGAGAUGAAUCAGUGGAAAAGUGAAAACUUUAUGUAUUCAUGACAUUCUAGAUUUGCUUUGCCUCUAAUUCAGUGGAAGCUGUAGUGAAUGUAGAUGCUUUGUAGAUAUAAUUGCUACACUUUGAAUCCUGUUUAUUAUACAGGUAUUCUGAGAAGGCUUUGUAGUUUUGAGUUUUUGGUGCAGUCUUCUUUUAGAGAGACAGAGUGAGAACGAAUACAUAUCUAGGUGCUUUGUCUUGUAAUUAAAUUACUGUGGUUGGUGAUGGAGAUGCUUAACACAUGGUAAUGUACACUUCUUGUUUUUGCAUACUUGUUCUGAGGGCUAUGCCCCAGUGCAGUUUCUCUGAAAGCAAGCCAUGGUUGGGCAAAUACUUCUACGUUAACUCUUGGUUUCAUCAAUUCUGGUUCGUUUCUGUGCUUAAUUAAAUGUAUAUGCUUGUUCUUAUGUCUAAUAUCAGAACGUUGUAAUGGUGUCUUUACAAGUAAUUUUUUUCAAGUGACUCUAGUAUGUGCAUUUCUUAUGGAUUCUGUUGUUUUAUGCUCUUUCUUGAUAUGGAUAACAGUUGCCGGAUUCUCUUAUAAUUCGAUCUUUGAGAUUCUGGUACGAGGAUAAUUUCAUAUUGUGGCAGAAUUUCAGAACUUUAAUUGUGACAUGUUUGAAUUUCAGGGCGUGCGUUAAACAAUGUGAAGAAACUGGAUGUGUUGGGCAGAAGUGUUUCCCACACUGCAAAUUUUCUUCUGAUGGUGCCUCCAUCAAUGGUCCAUGGUACAUGCAAGAACCUCUUUACUUGCAGUGGAAGAAAUGGGAUUGUCUAAGUGAUUGCCGUUACAAUUGUAUGGUUGACAGAGAGAUAAAGAGAGAUGCACUUGGUCAUGGACCUGUUAAAUAUCAUGGUAAAUGGCCCUUCAUUCGUGUAUACGGAAUACAGGUUUGCUAUUUACCAGCUUUUUACUUCAUUGAAAACUUACUUUUGGAGCUUUCUUACAAAUUCAGUAUGGUUGAAGUAUCUCGGCUUGUUACUUGUUUACUCAGGAGCCUGCUUCUGUGGCUUUCUCCGUUCUCAACCUUGCAAUGCAUUUCCAUGGUUGGCUGUCAUUUUUCAUCCUUCUGUACUACAAGUUGCCUCUAAAACAAACGAAGAAGGCAUACUAUGAAUUUUCCCCUUUGUGGCAUAUCUAUGGGUUCUUGUCAAUGAAUUCCUGGUUCUGGAGUGCAGUUUUCCACAGUAGGUAAGCUUUUUACUACGUUGCAGUUUUGCGUGACAGAUUCUAUUGACUGCUGUAUGUCAGCUUCAUGUGCCCAUCUGUAUUUGUAGAAAGUUUGAAGGCUUAGUACAGAGGCCAGUUUUACCACUCAAUCGUGCUGGGCAAGAUUGCUUUGGUUGGCUUAUUGCACAACAGAUAAAUUAAUAGGGUGUUCAAUUUUUUUUGGUCCUUAACCUACCUGUCUGGUAUCUCACCCAGUUCCAGCUGAGAGUGUAAAACUGUCACGUGGUAUUUGGGUUGGUGCAGACUAGAUAACCACAUUAAAAUUGCCAAGAGUAGGAGUUCUUUGUUGUCAUUGGUACUUGGGUUUAUUUAAUGUGCUGUUUUUGUCCUUUAACUUAUUUAAUGAGAAGAUAAAGCUUAAAGAAUAUCUUGGAAUAAUAGAUCAUUAAAAUUGAUGUUAUAGUUGAAUCUACCUCACGAUGUUGGGCGGCUGUUAAACCAUUGACAUAUGGUUCUGAGGGGUUUAUACUCAAGAUCUACAACUCCUGAUGCAGAAAAGUCAAAGAUAAUUGAUGUGAGGUGAGUUAAAAUGUGGUGUCAAAGCUCCACACUAUUUGGUUAGUGAUGGUCACUGAAGAACCAUCUGUAGAUCUACCCAACAAGUUACAAGUAUGAGACCUUUGAGGUUAAAACCCAGUAAGAAAAAUAUAGACUGUGUUGAAGUAGACGAUAUCAUGUUAUGUGGAAAAUCAGAGUUGGUCAUAUUAAAAUAAGGUAUUCGGCAGGUGAACACCUUGUGAGUAUGUAAGCUUGGGAAUUUUUAAUAUAUUCAAUUCCUUCAUGACUCAAACCCCCACCUAGUACUUGGGAACCCAAAACUCUCACCACUAUACUAGGGCCUAUGCUGCUGCCCAAAAUCUGUACAGAAAUUUCAUUUUCCUUUUAUUCUUUGUUUUCCUAUAUGUAUUUGGAGGAAGUUCAUCUUCUAGUAUAUUUCCUAACUAUUAUAGUGAUGCCUAAUUGGAAUGCAGAGAUGUGGACUUGACAGAGAAGUUUGACUACUCAUCUGCUGUGGCAUUACUUGGGUUCUCGCUCAUUCUGGCGAUACUAAGAAGUUUCAACGUGAGAGAUGAGGCUGCUAGAGUCAUGGUUGCUGCUCCACUGCUCGCUUUUGUGACAACCCAUAUAUUGUACCUCAAUUUCUAUAAACUAGAUUAUGGUAUCAGACCUCUCUGUCUAUAUCUUCAUUUCUGAUUGAUGCUUAAGCCAAUCAUUAGCCUAUAUCUUGGUAGAUACAUCACGUCAUUACCCCAGGUCUCAUAGAGCUAAGGUUGUCGUAACCACAUAAUGGUCAGUUUGUACAAGCACAACCCUUGCCUGUUUUGUUUACUAUGGUAUAAAUAUGCUGUAUGAAGUAGUGCUAUUGCUUUAGCAGUUACCUAUAUCACAUAGAGACACCAUAAAAGUCAUUUGCUUUUCUUUUCUAUUCCUUUUUUUUUUUCCAAAACCAUUUUGAUUGCAACAUUUAGUCAUUUGCUUUUCUUUUCUAUUCCUUUUUUUUUUUCCAAAACCAUUUUGAUUGCAACAUUUAGUCACAUCAUGUUCGCAAUGCAUAUCUGACAAGAUCCUUGACAUUUUACAGGAUGGAACAUGAAAGUUUGUGUUGUCAUGGCAGUGGCUCAGCUUCUCAUCUGGGCAACUUGGGCUGGUAUCACUCGGCAUCCUUCUCGCUGGAAGUUGUGGGUGGUGGUGUUCGGAGGUGCCCUUGCAAUGCUGCUAGAAAUCUAUGAUUUCCCCCCAUAUUAUGGUUUCCUGGAUGCCCAUGCUAUCUGGCAUGCGACGACUAUACCUCUUACCUACAUUUGGUGGAGUUUUAUCAGGGAUGACGCUGAGUUCCAAACUGCUAACAUGCUUAAGAAGGCAAAGUAGCUUACUGAAAAUGUAAACCAUUAUUGUGGUCUUCUUGUGCUCUUACCAGAGUACAAACUACAAGAAUUACAUCAUUUUUUCCUUUCCUUCUUGAAUUUGCUUAGUUUGAAUUUUCAUUCGGCUGAAAGACAAUUAGUAGGCAGAGAUGAGGUAGUGAUUAAAAAAAAUGUCAGGAAACUGAUUUGAUUCCUUUGUAAAUGCAACUUGAAUUCUAGCUUUAUCCUUUAUAUUGAAUUGUUUGACUUGGUUCUUCUAUGUUCUCACAUACUAAUGGAUUCAUGGCAUGUUUGCCUGCAUGUCUGCUUGCAAAUUUGCUUCAAAACUUUGUUUUCUUGAUUUUGUUUAAUCUAACAAAAUCCUGAAAUUUUUUGCAGGGUAGGCCAUAAAAGCCAGUGCCGCGGCAAUGGCUCAGUUAUGCUUCCCAUCUGGGCAAUCUACGUCUGUCGCUUGACAUCUCUCUUGCUAAAAGUUGCCGGUGUGAUGGUUUUAGGAGGUGAGCUGGCCCUUCUAGAAGCCGGUGACAAUGGCCCCUUACCAACAGUUGACGUUUGAUAAGAGAUGAAGCUGAGUUUCGAACUUCUUACCUUACUUGAGAAGACAGAGCAGCUUAUUGUAAACAAAUAUGAUUUCUGUACACUUGUGCUCUAGCCAAAAGAAACAACAGAAAUUUCAAUUAACCCCAAAAAAAAUAAAAAAAUAAAACGCUAAGCUAAUUGCAGGCCCCAGCUCAUUGGAAAGGCUGUCAUCUUUUUGGUCUAUGGUAACAUGGGUUUGCUAAUCGCAGUCUUAAGCUCAUUGGAAAGGCUGUCAUCUUUUCGGUUUAUGGUAAAAUGGGUUUUAAUCUUGCAAUUUAAGUCGUAAAGUUUUAUAAUUAAAGUAUCUUUUUUUAGUUAAACCCGCGAUACCUCUUGACUUGCACUGCAAUAGUCAAACAAAUUGAGCUACACUUUGUGCCAUCCGUCAUUAUUUAGCGUAUAAAAUUUGUGUUAAGAAAGAAACUUGCAUGUGUGUACUAGCACAUACAUUUGCGUGCGUGUCAAUAUCAGUAUUCCAUUCAUUUUUUUAAAAAAAAAAAACAUUUUCGUGGUGUUUAGGGUUGAAAUUUAUGUUUAUAAAAAUAAAAAUACCAAAAAGGACUAACAUGCAUGCGCUAGCAUGACAACAACAUCAUGAUUCCAUUCAUUUUUCACAAAACAUUUGAUGGUUCAACUUCAACCGAUCAUGUCAUUGCCGAUUGUGAUUCUCAUUAGUCUUUCUAUUACAUCAUGCCACGUAUCUUAACCACAUGUCCAUAAAAACACCUAAGCCAGCCGGCAACACUUUCGCGUCUGUCUUAGCGUCUUUCUUAUUUAACCUGUCCCCACCUUCCCACCAAAUCUUAAUUUUUCCCUUCUUGCUUGCUGCAUUAACUUUCUUCCUCUUGUUGCUUCCUUUUCUUCAGUUUCUUCUGUUCUUGAACCAUGCUUUCCAAAAAGCAAACACAGCUGCCAAUUUUCAUCACCAGCAACUCCCCCUUCAAAUCCUCCCUCUUCUUCAUCAUUAUCUUUUUAACUGCAUGGUUUCUUCUCCUCUUCUUCUGGCUCCCACCCACUAACCCUAUACACAUUAAUCUUCACAGAGCCUAUCAUCUCAUCAGCAACCAUAUCAUCAACAGUCACGUAUACCGACAACCUUUCUCGGUUUACAUUUACGACAUGCCUUCUGAAUUCAACCUCGGCCUCGUCAAAAACUGCCACCACUUAAAUAUGCACAGGGACAUGUGUCCCCACGUGGCAAAUCACGGCCUCGGCCAGCCGCUUCAACACGUUAAUGCCGUUAGCCCCGCUUGCUGGUUUGCCACUAACCAGUUCACUGCCGCGAUGAUUUUCCAUGCACGUUUAGAAAAUCACCCGCUUCGCACGUGGGAUCCCUCCCGAGCCACUCUCUUUUAUGUCCCCUUCUACGGCGGCCUCCACGCGUCCAGUAAGUUCCGGGAGACUAAUCUGACGGCUCGCGAUGAGUUGGCCGUUAGAUUCAGCGAGUUCCUCGAAUCGCAGCCGUGGUGGCAGCGGAAUAACGGGAAGGAUCAUUUCGUUGUGCUGGGAAGAACUGCAUGGGAUUUCAUGAGGACAAAGAGUGGGCCCGACUACGGAGCGAGCACUCUCCUCAACUUGCCACGUGUGCAGAACCUGUCCGUGCUGGCUAUCGAGAGAAACCCCUGGAGAACGAACCAACACGGCAUCCCUUACCCUUCUUACUUCCACCCGUGCACCUCAUCCCAGGUGCUGACGUGGCAGCAUAGCAUGAGACUCUCCAAACGGCCCCACCUUUUCUCUUUUGUAGGAGCUCCGAGGAAGGGUUCACAAAGAGCAGCUAUUCGAUACGAGUUGAUAAAGCAAUGCGGUGAGUCAAUUCGGUGCAAACUCUUAACAUGCAGAUACGGAUCAGGAGCAAGCAAUAAGUGUUCCUCACCAAGUGAAAUACUUGGAGUUAUGAGCAAGUCUCAGUUCUGUCUACAAGCGCCGGGCGAUUCAUUCACGCGGAGGUCAACGUUUGACUCGGUGCUGGCUGGCUGCAUUCCGGUGUUCUUUUCGCGGCACACAGCGUACACGCAGUACAUGUGGUAUUUACCUCAGGAUGCGGAGGAAUAUUCCGUUUACAUUAACGGCGAGAACGGGAAUGCGACGAGGAGGAUUGAAGAUGAGCUGAUGAAGAUACCGAGGGAGCGAGUGGAGAGGAUGAGGAAAAAGGUGAUUGACUUGAUUCCGAGAGUUACGUACAAGCAUCCGAAUGCGAGUGACGAUGGCGAGUUUGAGGAUGCUGUUGAUGUUGCAGUAGCCGCAUUGGCAAAUCAUGUGCAGUCAGUAUUAAGUAAAGAGUAGGGAUGGAAACAAACGGGCUUGGGUCAGGUUUUUUUAAGCCUAGGUCCAAGUCUACUUUAAGAUAAUUAUGAGGAUUGGGUUUGGGUUGGGUUUAUUGUGGGCUUGUACUUUUAUUUAUUUUUUAAAUUUUUUUUAAUUAUUGUAAAUGUGAAAUGAAUUAAUAAUCAAUAAUCUGUUAUAAUCAUAUAUAAAUUUAAGAAAAUGAAUAUUUCAAAGUAAAAUAAUCAAUAAAGUAAAUAAAAGUUUAAAAAUUCAUUUUUUUUAAUACUAGAUUCUCUAAUUUAAGCACUGUUAAUUAAUUAACGUAUAAGAGAGAGCUUAGUAUUAUAAUUUUAGUUUUUUUGAAUCAUCAUUGAUUUAUAAAUUAAAAAUAUAAGUUUAUUUUUUUAUUUUAAUCAUAUUAUUCUAAUUUAUACAUUUAUUUUUUUAAAAGUUGUGGGGCUUUUUUCUUGAGCCCUUAUCUAGGCCUUGGGCUAGACCGACUCAUGCUUUUUUGCCCACCCUAGUAAAGAGGUAGUACUGCGAUUAAUAUGUACUUGAUUGUUAUUUAUUUAUACACACACAAUGUAUAAGAAGGUAGCUAGUUUGUAUCAUAGUAUAUAAAGGGUUGAUCUAAUGUGUGUUGUCGAGUAUCUUAUGUUGUGUGACGGAAUCGUGUUUCAUGACCUCAUUUGUGGGGUUAUAGGGUCCACAAUACAUCCCACCAAUGAGAUCAUGACAUAUCCCGUCGCAUACCAUAAGAUAUAAUGCGCAUUAAAUCAUAAUUCAUAAUAUAUAUAUAUAUAUACAGUGUGCGGGCUUAUGUAUUGUUAUUUGACUUAUUUCUUCUAGCUUUCACUUUAAUUUUUAUAGAUGCUAGCUCCAAGAUCCAUCCUAUUAUCCAUGAUAUUGAUGGUUUGUUUAUUUCUUGAAUUAGGGAAUGAGAAAGUAUUUAUUUACCAAAAAUAUCACGGAAUGGGAAUAAUUUUGUAGGUGGGGCUCACAAAUUUAAGAAUGAGAAAUGAGAAUUUCAUAUGCAAAGAUGGAAAUGAAAAUAGAGAAUGAGUAUAGGAAUGAUCUAAUAUUUUUACUCUUAAAUAAAAUAAAAGUUCUUCUUUUUACCCCUAAUAAUAUUUGUAAAUAAAAUAACAAAAACAAUUAUUAUUUUUACUAAAGAUUUAUAAUAAUAGUAAUAAUUGUCAUAUUAUAUUAUAUUAUAUAUUAUAUUAUUAUUUUAUAAUAAUGAUAAUAAUAAUAAUAAUAAUAAUAAUAAUAAUAAUAAUAAUAAAAUUUAUAGUAAAAAUAUUUUCUCUUUAUUUUCUUAGUAAACAAGUAUAUAAUUGUGACUAAGGACAUUUUAAUAAUUUGAAACAUUUCAUUUCGACUACAAGAUAAAAUAAAUAAAUCAAUAAGAAUAUAGACCAUUACAAUUUUGAUUUCCACGGUUAAAAUAAAUAACUUAUUCUAAUUUAAAUUCCUAAUUAUGAUUAUACUCCAUGAAUCUGAUUUCACUCCAUUCUGAUUUUUUUGCCCAUACGAUUCCAACAAAAAAAAAAAGGCACCAUGAAUUCUUUAUUGGUAAAUCCAACCGACAGUCCAGACAAAUAUCCGAGGACAUAAUUUGUAUUUUUCUAUUGAAAUAUACCCCUAACUUGUAAGUAGUAUCAUCUUCCUCUGAAACUCGUCGCAACCAACCUCGUCUCCUAUUCUCUCCACUAUGGAGGAGGUUUCUUUGGAUUAUUUUUUUCCUUCUUUUUUUAUCAUUUCUUAUCUUUCUCUCCAUGCAAAAGCAAAUCUUCCACGCAGCCUCAGGUCUGCAGUGACUUUUCUUCCACUCAACCUCCGGUCUGUGGUGCUUUUCUUCCACUUAGACGACCAUGGUCCGUAGUGGCUUUAUUGGAUUCUUGUGUUUUUGUGUGCUGUGGUGAGUUGUUUUCUGGAUCUAAAGUCCUCUAAAUUCAGAUUCAGAAAUUUGCGAGGACAGGACAUCAUUGUGUCAAUCGAAAGAACCAAUUACGAUGGUGGAGCGAGGUUGUUGUAAAAGAGCUUAGGAAUUUCUUCUGGUGGUGCUCAAAAUCAUCCUUCUGUACAUCAGUGGGUGAAUAAUGGCUCAACUGAUUAGGCUACUAUAUAUUUCAGUUGUGUAUAUUGAUCCUAAUGUCGAUGAAUUUGCUAUAGCUGAAUGUGCUGUUAUGUUCUUUUUGUAUUAUUUGCUCUUGGCCACUUAUCCGGUAAACGAAAUUAAAAUUGUAGUAACGCUAUUUAAUGUUGACAGACGCGUUAGUGUGAUUCCUUUUUUUUUUUUUUUUCGGGUUAAAAGAAUCACUUAAAAAGUUAACAAAAAUAGCAAUGAGAAGUACUUAGUGCCACACAAUAUAACAAUAAAAUAGCUCAAAUUAUAUAUAAAAAAAUAAAUUCAUAAUACUAAACUUCUCUAACAUAAUAUAAAAUUUCAAAAGCCUUAAAUCUAGUAAAGUUGACUCUUUUUAGCUCUAAAAUGGGAGAUACAUGUUAAUUGUGUCGUAAGUUAGAAAUUAGGAACCGAACUUUUUUAAAGUCACCAAUGAAAUUUGAAAGUUUUACAGAUAAAAUUUGAAAGUUUUAAAGUCACCAAUAAUAAAAAUAAAAUGUCGCCAUUACGUACAGACAAUAACCAUACAAAUAAUAAAAUAAUCUGUCCCACAGUCCUUGCAUGCAUGUGCUGGCAUGGACAUUUGCACGAACGUUAGUGUCAAUAUUCCGUCCAAUUUUUUUAAUAUGUUUGUGGUGUUUAGGGGCAAUUUAUGUUUAUACAAAAUAGAAUUACCAAAAAGGACUAGCGUGCAUGUGCUGGCUGUGGCUGGCAUAUACACAUUUUUUUAUUCCCCGAAAUUUGCUGGCAUAUACAUUUACGUGCAUGACAGUGUCAAUAGUACUCCCUUUCAUUUUUCACAUAAUAUUUGAUGGUGUGUUCAGUUCAACUUGAACCGAUUCAUCGUCGUCACCAUUUUUAAAAAUUCUCUGUAGUCCUUCUAUUACAUGAUGCCACGUAUCUCAAUCACAUGUGCGGCGAGACAUCUAAGCCGGAAUGCACCCCUUCUGUCUUUGUCUUAUUUUAUGCCGUCCCCAGUCCCCACUUGCCCACCUAACCUUAGUUUCCCCCUUUCUUCCCGCAUUAACUUCUUCCUCUUGUGCUCCUUUUUCUUCAGUUUCAUCGCCAUUUUCUUCUGCUCUUGAAUCAUGCUUUCCAAAAAGCAAUCGCAGCUCCCAAUUUUCGUCAUCAACAACUCCUCCUUUAAAUCCUCCUUCUUCUUCAUCAUCUUUUUAACUGCAUGGUUUUUCUUCCUCUUCUACUGGCUCCCACCCACUAACCCUAAACACAUUAGUCACCACCGAACCCAUAAUCUCAUCGGUAACCAUAACAUCAACAAUCACGUACGCCGACAACCUUUCUCCGUUUACAUUUACGACUUGCCUCCAGAAUUCAACCUCGGCCUCGUCAAAAACUGCCACCACUUAAAUGUCUACACCGACAUGUGUCCCCACGUAGCAAAUCACGGCCUCGGCCAGCCGCUUGAGCACAUCAGCGCCGUUAGCCCCGGCUGCUGGUUUGCCACUCACCAGUUCAUAGCCGAGAUGAUUUUCCAUGCACGUUUAGAAAAUCACCCGCUUCGCACGUGGGACCCGUCACGUGCC
rnacentral:lncRNA from 1 species